UCCCAUCUUCUUCGUCCCCAAAACCAGCAGCUGAACCCCCCCUCCCCCCUAGAAACGUAAAAGAACAACAAAAAUUAAUUACCUUCCCAUCUUCUUCGUCCCCAAAACCAGCAGCUGAAAAUUAAUUACCUUCCCAUCUUCUUCGUCCCUAAUAACACACUUAGCUGUAGAAAAAUCACCCUCUCUUCAUCGAUUUGAUUUUCAUUUGUCCCAAACUUUUCAUCUUCUUCUCAUUCAUCUUCAACAUCACUAAUUUUUUUUCUUCAUCUUCUUCUCCUUCAUCUUAACAGUUUCAAUCUUUAUCUGUAAACCACCAAAAUCACAGACCCAUGGCACCAUCGAACCAGACCCAGCAUAAUCACCAACGAACAUCCUGAUUUACCCCUUCUCUCUGUAAAUGGGGUGGGUUUUGCAGUAUUUUCUUCAUUAAUUCAGGUGUUAUUCUGUCUUGUAGAUUCAUCUCGUUCACCUAUAACUCAAGAACACAGGAUUUGACGACCCAAGGAGUAAAGAGGUUGUGUGACUAUGCCUCCAGUUUGGAAAACAACUUACUUGAAGAGAAUAUCCAGGCAUGUCAUCAUCUUUUUGUUUCCUUUUGGCCUUUUCAAUACUCUGUUACUGAACUUUACCGUUCACCAUGGUCCACAAAUUCUGCAGACUUCAGCAUCCAGUUCACGGCUAACAUUCUCAUCAAAGGUAAUAUUUUUCUUCUGCAUUAGGGCACGUGUCUGAUAAAACAUUGUAAACAAAGUAGUUGUUUUUGUUAUUGGAGACACCAUAUCUAUAUUUCUAAACUAGAUAUUGUCUAUUUUACCGUCUUGGUUAGUGGGGAGAUCUAUUUAAGAUUGGAAUUUAAUUAUUUUUACUGGACAUGCCCAGGCUGAAGCAUUCUGUUAUCCCAAACCAGGGGCCACAUGCUUAAAAUAGCUUUGCUUAAGUGCUUGCAUAU